ACAUAACUGAUGCCUCCGCGUAUCGACUUUGUGCGCAUUUUAGCUAUUAUGUGUUCUUUUAAUUAAAAUGAUUCUUUUUAAGAUUCAUCUUAUUAAAAAUUUGCUUCGGCAUAAUUUUUUUUGAUGAUCUUGUUACUUUGAGUAAAUUAGAGUGUUCAAAGCAAACAGAUAUAGCAUUUGUGCGUUUGAAUACUACAGCAUGGAAUAACAAAAUUGAACAAGUCAGAAUUUUUUUGUUCUUUUUUAUUAUUUUGGCUUAGUUACGAUUAAUAGGAGUAGCUUGGGGGCAUUUGUAUUCAGAUGUCAGAGGUGAAAUUCUUAGAUUUUCUGGAGACAAACAACUGCGAAAGCAUUUGCCUAAAAUACUUCCAUUAAUCAAGAACGAAAGUUAAGGGAGUGAAGACGAUCAGAUACCGUCGUAAUCUUAACCAUAAACUAUGCCGACUAGGCUUUGGAUGAAAGAUUUUAAAAUAAGAGUUUUUCUUUUCUCUCCGGAGAUUAAACUCUUAGAUUGCUUCCUUCAGUGCCUUAUGAGAAAUCAAAGUCUUUGGGUUCUGGGGCGAGUAUUCGCGCAAGCGAGAAAGUUAAAAGAAUUGACGGAAGGGCACCACCAGGCGUGGAGCUUGCGGCUUAAUUUGACUCAACACGGGAAAACUCACUAGUUUAAGACAAGAGUAGGAUUGACAGAUUAAUAGCUCUUUCUUGAUUUCUUGGAUGGUGAUGCAUGGCCGUUUUUAGUUCGUGAAUAUGAUUUGUCUGGUUAAUUCCGAUAACGAACGAGAUCUUAACCUGCUAAUUAGCGGCAAAUACGAUAUAUUCUUAUGUAGAAUUGAAUAUAGUGGAUUUGUUGGAUUUUGAAGAAAAUAUUGGAAUUACGUUUAAAUGUGAUUCCUUUCCCUUUUCUACUUAAUUUACAUUUCCAUCUAUUUCUUUUUUGCGUAUGAAUGUAUUUGCUUGAUUGUAAAGCUUCUUAGAGGAACGAUGUGUG
rnacentral:rRNA from 1 species